rnacentral:lncRNA from 1 species
GGACCCAACACUUGAAAAUUGGAUGAAACUCUAUCAGUGACGGGUGAAGCAAAGCCCACCACUGAUGCUAGUCAUCAUGUUUUGCCCACAAAUACAUGAAAAUUAUAUCUUGCCUUCCUUCCCUUCAAUCAACAACCGAAUGGCCCCUCACAUCAACUCUAGAAGAAAGAGGCUGACAAGAAACGACUCUCGAAGCAAGAACUCAACAAAUUUACAAACAUAUAUCGUUCAAAUUUUGAUUUUAAAAAGUUUGGUAUCACUGUGGGCCCCAAGGCGCCCGACAAUGAUAGUUAUGGCAGGUUCUAGGCCUAUCUGACAGGCUACUGCUCAUUUUUUUUUUGGUUUUUUUCCUUCCUUUCUCCAAAGCGCACAAUGACUUGUAAUCAAACUCACUUUUUUCAAUGUUUCUUGCAUUAUUAUUUUCAGUGUUUAUUGCAUUAUUAUUUUCAGUUUUUUGCAUUAUUAUUUCCUGUGUUUUUGCCUUUUGAGUGUACCGAUCAACGAUUCUUGUGGGUCAUUUCUGUACGAAAAUUAAUGUAACUGAAGAAAACUCAAAUGGAUGUUGAAAAUACAUACAUAUAUAUAGUUCAUCUCUCCAUCAUUACAUAUAGAAAUAUAUAAAAAAGGAAAAAUACAUAUGGAAAAUUAUUCCACGCUCCUCAUGAUCUUCUCCAAGGCCUUGGUAAAAUUCUCCAGUGUACCGAUCAACGAUCGGAACACUUCCACGGAGACUUGUACCAUCGGUGGCGGAGGCGUUGGUGACGGCGGUGGCGGCGACGCACGGCGCCGGC